UACGGGGGGGGCAAGCGUUGUUCGGAAUUACUGGGCGUAAAGGGCUCGUAGGCGGCCAACUAAGUCAGACGUGAAAUCCCUCGGCUUAACCGGGGAACUGCGUCUGAUACUGGAUGGCUUGAGUUCGGGAGAGGGAUGUGGAAUUCCAGGUGUAGAGGUGAAAUUCGUAGAUAUCAGGAGGAACACCGGUGGCGAAGGCGGCUUCCUGGACACUUACUGACGCUGAGACGCGAAAGCGUGGGGAGCAAACAGG
rnacentral:rRNA from 1 species